rnacentral:lncRNA from 1 species
CUCCCCCCAUAACCCUUAUAACCCUAUAAUAACCCCUAUACCCCCAUAAUAUCCCCUAUACCCCCAUAAUACCCUAUAUCCCACAUAAUACCCCCCUAUACCCCUUAAUAACCCCAUAAUACCCUAUAUCCCACAUAAUACCCCCUAUACCCCAUAAUACCCCCAUAAUACCCUAUAUCCCCCAUAAUACCCCCCUAUACCCCAUAAUACCCCCUAUACCCCAUAAUACACCCUAUACCCCCCAUAAUACCCCAUAUACCCCCAUAAUACCCCCUAUACCCACAUAAUACCCCCCUAUACCCCCCCUAUACCUCCCUAAUACCCCCUAUACCCCACUCUGGGUCCCUAUGGGGACACUGGGGUCCCUUUAUGGGGUCUGGGGGGGGUAUAUAUGGGAUGGAUAAAGGGGGGGGACACUGUGGGUUCAUGUCCCCAAGGGCCACCACCUCCUUGGGUCAUGUCCAUAGGGGAUAUGGGGUGGGAUAUGGGGACACCCCACUGCGUGUCCCCAUAGGGCCACCAGUGUCCAUAGGGGGACAUGGGGACAGAUAUGGGGUCACUGUGACUCCAUAGGGGGAUAUGGGGACAGAUAUGGGGUCACUGUGACUCCAUGUCCCCAUAGGGCCACCAGUGUCCAUAGGGGGAUAUGGGGAUAUGGGGGGGAUAUGGGGACACCCCACUGCAUGUCCCUAUGGGCCACCAGUGUCCAUAGGGGGAUAUGGGGAUAUGGGGGGAUAUGGGGACAGAUAUGGGGUCACUGUUAUUCCAUGUCCCUAUAGGCCACCAGUGUCCAUAGGGGAUAUGGGGACAGAUAUGGGGUCACUGUGACUCCAUGUCCCUAUGGGCCACCAGUGUCCAUAGGGGGAUAUGGGGACAGAUAUGGGGUCACUGUGAUUCCAUAGGGGAAUAUGGGGACAGAUAUGGGGACACCAUGACUCCAUGUCCCUAUGGGCCACCAGUGUCCAUAGGGGGACAUGGGGACAGAUAUGGGGUCACUGUGACUCCAUAGGGGACGUUAUGGGGGGGCGGGGGGGUAUAUGGGGACAUCCGAUGACUUUCAUGUCCCUCUAUGGGUCACCAGUGCCAUAGGGGGAUAUGUGGGAUAAUGGGGGGAUAUGGGGACACCGCCACUCCAUGUCCCUAAUGGGCGCAGCCAUGGUCAUUAGGGGAUAUUGGGGACAGAUAUGGGGUUCACUGUUGAUUACCAUGUCCCAUAGGGCCACUAGUGUCCAUAGGGGACAUGUGGGGGAUUAUGGGGUCACUGUGACCCCAUAGGGGAUUAUGGGGGGGGGGGAUAUGGGGACCACCAUGACUGCCAUUCCCUAUGGCGACCAUUGUCAUAGGGGA